GACGAACGCUGGCGGCGUGCUUAACACAUGCAAGUCGAACGGAAAGGCCCUGCUUUUGUGGGGUGCUCGAGUGGCGAACGGGUGAGUAACACGUGAGUAACCUGCCCUUGACUUUGGGAUAACUUCAGGAAACUGGGGCUAAUACCGGAUAGGAGCUCCUGCUGCAUGGGGGGGGUUGGAAAGUUUCGGCGGUUGGGGAUGGACUCGCGGCUUAUCCGCUUGUUGGUGGGGUAGUGGCUUACCAAGGCUUUGACGGGUAGCCGGCCUGAGAGGGUGACCGGCCACAUUGGGACUGAGAUACGGCCCAGACUCCUACGGGAGGCAGCAGUGGGGAAUAUUGCGCAAUGGGCGGAAGCCUGAUGCAGCAACGCCGCGUGCGGGAUGACGGCCUUCGGGUUGUAAACCGCUUUCGCCUGUGACGAAGCGUGAGUGACGGUAAUGGGUAAAGAAGCACCGGCUAACUACGUG
rnacentral:rRNA from 1 species